UCCAACUAGUUUGUUUUAUUCUGAUGUCA
rnacentral:piRNA from 1 species